rnacentral:rRNA from 1 species
AUUGAACGCUGGCGGCAUGCCUUACACAUGCAAGUCGAACGGUAACAGGUUAAGCUGACGAGUGGCGAACGGGUGAGUAAUGUAUCGGAACGUGCCCAGUCGUGGGGGAUAACUGCUCGAAAGAGCGGCUAAUACCGCAUACGACCUGAGGGUGAAAGCGGGGGAUCGCAAGACCUCGCGCGAUUGGAGCGGCCGAUAUCAGAUUAGGUAGUUGGUGAGGUAAAGGCUCAUCAAGCCGACGAUCUGUAGCUGGUCUGAGAGGACGACCAGCCACACUGGGACUGAGACACGGCCCAGACUCCUACGGGAGGCAGCAGUGGGGAAUUUUGGACAAUGGGCGCAAGCCUGAUCCAGCCAUGCCGCGUGCGGGAAGAAGGCCUUCGGGUUGUAAACCGCUUUUGUCAGGGAAGAAAAGGUUCUGGCUAAUACCUGGGACUCAUGACGGUACCUGAAGAAUAAGCACCGGCUAACUACGUG